AUUGAACGCUGGCGGCAGGCCUAACACAUGCAAGUCGAACGAGUGGCGGACGGAUGAGUAAUGUCUGGGACACUUCCUGAUGGAGGGGGAUAACUACUGGAAACGGUAGCUACUCACGCAUACCAUCAGAUGGGCCCAGUUUGGAUGAGCUUGGGGGUGGGGUAAAGGCUCACCAAGGCGACGAUCCCUAGCUGGUCUGAGAGGAUGAACAGCCACACUGGAACUGAGACACGGUCCAGACUCCUACGUGAGGCAGCAGUGGGGAAUAUUGCACAAUGGGCGAAAGCCUGAUGCAGCCAUGCCGCGUGUAUGAAGAAGGCCUUCGGGUUGUAAAGUACUUUCAGCGGGGAGGCGUUACCCGCAGAAGAAGCACCGGCUAACUCCGUGCCAGCAGCCGCGGUAAUAC
rnacentral:rRNA from 1 species